rnacentral:rRNA from 1 species
ACGAACGCUGGCGGCAGGCUUAACACAUGCAAGUCGAACGCAUCCUUCGGGGUGAGUGGCAGACGGGUGAGUAACGCGUGGGAACAUGCCCUUCAGUUCGGAAUAACCCAGGGAAACUUGGGCUAAUACCGGAUACGUGCGAGAGCAGAAAGAUUUAUCGCUGAAGGAGUGGCCCGCGUCUGAUUAGCUAGUUGGUGAGGUAAAGGCUCACCAAGGCGACGAUCAGUAGCUG